rnacentral:rRNA from 1 species
AUGGCUCAGGAUGAACGCUGGCGGCGUGCUUAACACAUGCAAGUCGAACGAAGCUCUGGAACGGAGGAUUCGUCCAAAGGGAAGAGAUGACUGAGUGGCGGACGGGUGAGUAACGCGUGGGUAACCUGCCGUAUGCAGGGGGACAACAGUUGGAAACGACUGCUAAUACCGCAUAAGCGCACGGUUCUGCAUGGAACAGUGUGAAAAGAUUUAUCGGCAUACGAUGGACCCGCGUCUGAUUAGCUAGUUGGUGAGGUAACGGCCCACCAAGGCGACGAUCAGUAGCCGGCCUGAGAGGGUGAACGGCCACAUUGGGACUGAGACACGGCCCAAACUCCUACGGGAGGCAGCAGUGGGGAAUAUUGCACAAUGGGGGAAACCCUGAUGCAAGCGACGCCGCGUGAGUGAAGAAGUAUUUCGGUAUGUAAAGCUCUAUCAGCAGGGAAGAAAAUGACGGUACCUGACUAAGAAGCCCCGGCUAACUACGUGCCAGCAGCUGC